rnacentral:rRNA from 1 species
CCGCAAGGGGAGUGGCAGACGGGUGAGUAACGCGUGGGAAUCUACCGAGCCCUGCGGGAUAGCUCCGGGAAACUGGAAUUAAUACCGCAUGCGCCCUACGGGGGAAAGAUUUAUCGGGGUUUGAUGAGCCCGCGUUGGAUUAGCUAGUUGGUGGGGUAAAGGCCUACCAAGGCGACGAUCCAUAGCUGGUCUGAGAGGAUGAUCAGCCACAUUGGGACUGAGACACGGCCCAAACUCCUACGGGAGGCAGCAGUGGGGAAUAUUGGACAAUGGGCGCAAGCCUGAUCCAGCCAUGCCGCGUGAGUGAUGAAGGCCUUAGGGUUGUAAAGCUCUUUCACCGGAGAAGAUAAUGACGGUAUCCGGAGAAGAAGCCCCGGCUAACUUCGUGCCAGCAGCCGCGGUAAUACGAAGGGGGCUAGCGUUGUUCGGAAUUACUGGGCGUAAAGCGCACGUAGGCGGACAUUUAAGUCAGGGGUGAAAUCCCGGGGCUCAACCUCGGAACUGCCUUUGAUACUGGGUGUCUUGAGUGUGGAAGAGGUAAGUGGAAUUCCGAGUGUAGAGGUGAAAUUCGUAGAUAUUCGGAGGAACACCAGUGGCGAAGGCGGCUUACUGGUCCACAA